rnacentral:lncRNA from 1 species
CCACAUUACUUUUUUAAGCCUAUGCACAUACAAUCAAUAUAGUCAGCCUACAUGCUGUAUCUCAUUACCAUCGUAAUAAUUAAUUAAUACAAUUAUUGAAGUUACAUACCCACAACAUUGCCACAAAUAUAAAUAUAAUAAGUUCAUAGAAUAUCACUAUAGAGCAUGAUGUGCAGGUCGUCCUAGUUACAUCAUUCGGCUACAAGCACAUCAGAACUAAAUUGUAAAAAAAAACAUGCAUUUAAUCAAACGCAUCAAGUGUAGGUUGCUGCAUAAUCAGUUCUGUCACAACUCUUUCUUGCAGGUUGCUGCAUAAUCAGUUCCUGUCACAACUCUUUCUUUUGCCUUUGUGUGCUACUCUCUGACAGCCAUUGCAACAUGGAAAACAAAAGCAAAUACUGGAGUGUCAAUGUCAAUAAAAAAAAUGCAUUGUUCAUCACAUAGUUUUCACUACCUUGCUCAUGUCUUAAAGACAACUAGUAGCAGGCGCGUGCCCUCGCGCGCGUUAUCAGUUCAUAAUGCUGAAUUAUGAACAAUCUCAUACAAUUUAUUAGGAUAGAAAUUAGUUAUAAGUUUAGUAAUCAAUGCAUAGACAUGCAUGAAUCUGUAUAUAUUAUAAGGUUUAUUAUUUCGAAUAUUACAUGCUAUUCAUUGGUUGCAUAACUUUACAUAAAAGGUUACAGGUUGCACAGAUAGCAUAUGGUCUGGUGACAACACAUCUACGACUUAAGGUGCCAGUGAUUAUGUUUGCAAGCAAAGUAAAAAAAACUAAAGGAUGUAAGAUUAAUGUCAAUAUAAUAAAGGGAUGCCAACUAAUAAAGAUGGAAUUAAUUUGUCCACACAACUAAGAUCACUCAAAUCAUAAAACUGAUAUCCACGUGUAUUGAAAUCACAUCAAUAACCUAGAGAAGGAAGAUACAAUAUGGCACUCAAAAUCUAGAAACUUGAAAUCCAUGAAUAUGGAGGUGAUAUCCAUGGAUAUGCAUUGUAACUAAAACUUCUGAAUUUUGAACCAAAGCAAAAAUAGUAGGAAGAAGUGUAAAUAGUAGGAAGAAAAAAACAUCAUAGAAAUCUGAAAUGCUAGUUAGGAGUCUAUAUUUUAAUAUAAACAAUUAGCCUUCCCUUAAUCACUAAAACAGCCGUAUAGUAGGAAGAAGUGUAAAUAGUAGGAAGAAAAAAAACAUUUCAUAGAAAUCUGAAAUGUUAGCUAGGAGUCUCUAUUUUAAUAUAAACAAUUAGCCUUCCCUUAAUCACUAAUUCAAAAGGCUGGUUACUCUAAACUGGCCUCUGAAAACAUGGUCAAUGAAGAAUAUGUGGUUACUCUAAGUGAGAUUUUCCCAAUAAAAUGUUUGCAGAGGAAUCGAAAGUACCAAGAUAACCUUUUAGGCCAUCUACAUUUUAUCAGGAUCGACAUGACCAAAAAGGUGUAACCUUUUAGGCACUAUAAAUUGAUCCUUAAUAGUUUAAUUGGUCAAAAAAUAUAGGUUGCACAUAUUUGAUCAGAUAGUGGGGCUACCAACUUUGUAAAAUCUUCAAACACAUACCCCCAAAAAAAUCUAAACACAUGUUUGGUUGCCUGACCUUCAUCUGUGACAUAGUGGCAUGUGAAUUAUAGGUACGUUAUGAAAUAAUCCAACUAUCAAUUGAUCAAGGGGGAAUAUCAAUCACCUCGGAUUAGAAGACGUAUAAGGAGAAAUCUAGUUGAGGGCCUGCGGCUCUGGCCAUUCCAGCAACUGGACACUUGGUAACCUUCAAAACAUGAAAGGAAAACAUAGUACACGCUUGGUAACUUUUAGCACAAAUUAGAAUGGGAACAUGCAGUGUACUGAUUCAGCUGCCAAAUCUAAACUCAGCGCACUGAUGAACUGUUUUUAGGAACAAGAAGAUUCAACUGGGACGAGAUUUAUGGGGAACAAGCGGAUCCCAUGGGUGAACCAACGGAUCCAACCAUGGAGACCCCAGAUCGACCCAGGAAAGAACGGCAACAAGCACAUACCGACGGUCGAGUUCUGCAUCGGCAAGAUAAGGAGAGGAGGAGCAAGGGAGAGAGGCCGCAUAGUCACCGUACUGGGAUUUGGCCUGUCCGACAUGGUACCUAAGGUUUCGCUUGGACGCUGCGCCGCGGCCUUGCGCCUGCCGCUGCAGCCUCACGCCCGCUAUCAUCGCGGGGGGCAGGGGAGAGAGGAGGAGGUGGUGGUGGAGGAGGAGGAGGGCGGCUGUGGUGCGCCACUCGCUCCCGUCAUCGUCGUCGACUCGUCGUCGUCCUUCGGGAGGAGGGAGGGAGCGAAGAGAGAGGAGGAGGAGAGUUGGGGAAAGGAGGCCGGCGAGAGAGAGAGAGAGAGAGACUGGGAGAGUGUGGAGGAAGCUAGGGUUUGGAGAUUGAUAUUUAUUGAUGUUAGCAUUGUUCUCCACCGUCUGAUCAGAUCGGUUGGCUGUGAACUAUUGGGCCCAUUCGUGGGCCUUUGGAUUUUCACUCUCAAAUGCAUAUUUGGGCCUUUGCAUUUAUCGACUGUAUCAUU